rnacentral:rRNA from 1 species
GCUAGCGGCAGGCCUACACAUGCAAGUCGAGGGGUAACAGGUGAGCUUGCUCCCGCUGACGACCGGCGCACGGGUGCGGAACGCGUAUGGAACCUGCCCCUGUCAGAGGAAUAGCCCAUGGAAACGUGGAUUAAUGCCUCAUGGUAUUGUGAAGUUGCAUGAUUUUACAAUUAAAGAUUUAUCGGACAGGGAUGGCCAUGCGUAUCAUUAGCUAGUUGGGGAGGUAACGGCUCACCAAGGCGACGAUGAUUAGGGGCCCUGAGAGGGGGAUCCCCCACACUGGUACUGAGACACGGACCAGACUCCUACGGGAGGCAGCAGUGAGGAAUAUUGGACAAUGGUCGGAAGACUGAUCCAGCCAUGCCGCGUGCAGGAAGACGGCCCUACGGGUUGUAAACUGCUUUUCUACAGGAAGAAAGGUUCCCUUGCGAGGGAGAUUGACGGUACUGUAGGAAUAAGGACCGGCUAACUCCGUGCCAGCAGCCGCGGUAAUACGGAGGGUCCGAGCGUUAUCCGGAAUCAUUGGGUUUAAAGGGUCCGUAGGUGGGGUUCUAAGUCAGAGGUGAGAGGUUGCAGCUCAACUGUAGAAUUGCCUUUGAUACUGGAGCUCUUGAGUUAUGUUGCUGUGGCCGGAACAUGUGGUGUAGCGGUGAAAUGCAUAGAUAUCACAUAGAACACCGAUUGCGAAGGCAGGUCACAAAGCAUACACUGACACUGAGGGACGAAAGCGUGGGGAGCGAACGGGAUUAGAUACCCCGGUAGUCCACGCCGUAAACGAUGGAUACUAGCUGUUGGGUUUUCGGACUCGGCGGCCAAGCGAAAGUGAUAAGUAUCCCACCUGGGGAGUACGUU